rnacentral:piRNA from 1 species
UCAAGGAAGACUCCUUGGAUAAGCUGGUGU